GACGAACGCUGGCGGCGUGCUUAACACAUGCAAGUCGAACGGAAAGGCCCUGCUUUUGUGGGGUGCUCGAGUGGCGAACGGGUGAGUAACACGUGAGUAACCUGCCCUUGACUUUGGGAUAACUUCAGGAAACUGGGGCUAAUACCGGAUAGGAGCUCCUGCUGCAUGGUGGGGGUUGGAAAGUUUCGGCGGUUGGGGAUGGACUCGCGGCUUAUCAGCUUGUUGGUGGGGUAGUGGCUUACCAAGGCUUUGACGGGUAGCCGGCUGAGAGGGUGACCGGCCACAUUGGGACUGAGAUACGGCCCAGACUCCUACGGGAGGCAGCAGUGGGGAAUAUUGCACAAUGGGCGGAAGCCUGAUGCAGCAACGCCGCGUGCGGGAUGACGGCCUUCGGGUUGUAAACCGCUUUCGCCUGUGACGAAGCGUGAGUGACGGUAAUGGGUAAAGAAGCACCGGCUAACUACGU
rnacentral:rRNA from 1 species